rnacentral:rRNA from 1 species
GAUGAACGCUGGCGGCGUGCCUAAUACAUGCAAGUCGAGCGAACGGACGAGAAGCUUGCUUCUCUGGUGUUAGCGGCGGACGGGUGAGUAACACGUGGAUAACCUACCUAUAAGACUGGGAUAACUUCGGGAAACCGGAGCUAAUACCGGAUGAUAUUUUGAACCGCGUGGUUCAAAAGUGAAAGACGGUCUUGCUGUCACUUAUAGAUGGAUCCGCGCUGCAUUAGCUAGUUGGUAAGGUAACGGCUUACCAAGGCAACGAUGCAUAGCCGACCUGAGAGGGUGAUCGGCCACACUGGAACUGAGACACGGUCCAGACUCCUACGGGAGGCAGCAGUAGGGAAUCUUCCGCAAUGGGCGAAAGCCUGACAGAGCAACGCCGCGUGAGUGAUGAAGGUCUUCGGAUCGUAAAACUCUGUUAUUAGGGAAGAACAUAUGUGUAAGUAACUGUGCACAUCUUGACGGUACCUAAUCAGAAAGCCACGGCUAACUACGUG